rnacentral:lncRNA from 1 species
CUGUUAGUGUGUGUUUUGUGAGUGAGUGUCUGUCAGUAAAUGUGUGUGUCUGUUAGCUAGUGUGUAUGCGUCUAUUCGUGAGAGUGUGUGUGUGUGUACUUACCUUUCUCCAGCGCCAGUCUCCCUUGGCGCUGGGGAUCUCUCCGCCCUGAUCCGCCUCUCAGCUCUGAAUGCGCAUGUGUGGCAAGAGCCGUGCGCGCAUUCAAACCGCCCAUA